ensembl:lncRNA
AACAUACAGACAGCUCAAGCAGCUCAAUAUCAAAAAACAAAAAUACCCAAUAGGAAAUGGGACAAAGAUCUCAAUGGACAUUUCAUGAAGAAGGCAUACACAUGGCCAUUAAGCACUUGAAAAGGUGUUCAGCAUCACUCAUGGUUAGAGGAAGACCAUUCAAAAGUCCAGUGAGCUAUCACCUCACCCCAGUCAGAAUGGCCAUCUCAGAGAAUCCCCAGCAAUACAUGUUGCAGAGGAUGUGGAGAGAAGGGAACUCCGCUGCACUCUUGGUGGGAAUGUAAAUCGGUCUAUCCAUUAGGCAAAGAGUAUGAAGGUUCUUUUAAAAUACUAAACGUAGUGUUGUAGCCCCACGUUCCGGGAAACAAACUCACGCAGAAGGACAGUGCAGAUAGUGCAGUGCAGUUGAUUACACCCGCGGGCCCAAGGCAGAGUCUCCUGUUAGCCAAGGACGCCGACCGGUUUUUGUGAAAACAUUGUAUACCCUAAGUGUAUACGGUUCCCUGAAACUAAUCUCAACAAAGGAAAAAGAAAGAUACAAAGUUAAGCCAUGCUUCAUAUGCCUUAAGCCUAGGUAAUUAACAGUGGACAAUUAUCAACAGGCCUGCGGUCAUACCAAAACAAGCAUUAUAGAACGUAUGGUUCUCUUCAGUUACACAGAUAAUUAGGGGAAUCUUUUAGGCAUGGAGAGUCUAGAUCCAAGCCCUGAGGCUCUUCCUUCUGGGAGCCUGGUUUUCCAGCUGGUGUGUUGUUUCCACAGAUACUGGGCUCAAAGUCCAUAGUCUGGCCCAAGAUGGAGUCCUGCUUUCAAGAUAGAGCCGUUUCUGUAACCUCCUUCAAUACAAGUACCAUAGGAUCCAGCAGUCCCACACCUGGGUGUGCUGCUGCUAAGUCGCUUCAGUCGUGUCCGACUCGGUGCGACCCCAUAGACGGCAGCCCACCAGGCUCCCCUGGCCCUGGGAUUCUCCAGGCAAGACAACUGGAGUGGGUUUCCAUUUCCUCCUCCAAUGCAUGAAAGUGAAAAGUCAAAGUAAAGUCGCUCAGUCGUGUCCGACUCUUAGGGACCCCAUGGACUGCAGCCCACCAGGCUCCUCGGUCCAUGGGAUUCUCCAGGCAAGAGCACUGGAGUGGGGUGCCAUUGCUAGGUACAGAGAAAACCAAAAUUUGAAAAGACGCCUGCAGCCCUGUGGUCACAGCUGCACUAGGACCAUCAACAGGACACGGCAGCAAUCUAAGAGCAGGACACAGGUGAAUGGAUACAGAAGAGGGUACCUAGACAUAAUCCAGUAUUAUCCAGCCAUUAAAAGGAUCAAGUAACAACAUUUCCAGCCACAGGGAGGAAAGUAGAAGUGAUCAUUCUAAGUGAACUAGGGGAGACAGGGAAAGACAAGAAUCGUAUGGCAUCACUUCUAGGUGGAAUCUAAAAAUGGAGACGUGUGAACUUCUUUACCAAAGAGAAAUGGCCUCACAAACAUAUGGUUCCCUAGAAGAAACUUACGGUUCCCCAGGAGGAAAAGACGAGGGCAGGGAGAAAUGAGCUGGUUCAGAUUGACGUACACACACUACUCUUUAUAAAAUCAUCCACAAGGACCCACUGCACAGCACAUGGAACCCUCCUCAACACUCCGUAAUAACUUAUAUGGGAAGAGAACCUGAAAAAGAACAUAUAUAUGUCUAGCUAUACAUGAAUCAAGCACCUGGAAAGACAUCCCCCCUCACUCAUUUCUGUGCUCAGUUGCUCAGUUGUGUCCGGCUUUUCGCAACCCCACGGACUGCAGCCUGCUAGUCUCUGCUGUCCAUGAAAUUUUCCAGGAAAGAAUUCUGGUUGGGUUCCCCUUUCCUUCUCUAGGGCAUCUUCCCGGCUCAGGGAUCAAUUCUGAAUCUCUUGCAUCUCCUGCACUGCAGGCAGAUUCUUUGCUGCUGAGCCGCACCAGGGAAGACCCACUCAUUAUUAAAUCAAUGGUGAUCAAAUCUACACUGACGAAUCCCCUCCCACCAGUCAGAAGGGCCAUCGUCAGAAAGCUCUCCAAAGAAUAAAUGCUGCAGAGGGCGUAGGGAAAAUGGAACCCUCCCGCACUCUGAGUGGGGUGCAACAGGGUGCGGCCCCAAUGGAAAACCGCAUGGAGGGUCCUGAGGAGACAGAGGAGCCACGGGACCCAGCGACCCCACUUCCGGGCUCAGACCUGGAGAACAUCACGAUUUGAAAUGAUACGUGCACCCCUGUUUUCAGAGAAGCACUAUUUACAACAGCCAAGACAGAGUCCACCAAAAUGUCCAACGACAGCAACGUGAAGACUGAGUGUUCCGUCUAUACACUGGACUCUAUACACAUCUAUACAGUUCACCCCUGGGCUCUGGGGUGCAGUCAGGAUGGGAGAAUGUGGCCUCUGACCAGCAGCUGGUGGGAAGAAGGGAGAUCAGCCCUGAGGUUAGGUGUUCCCUGAAGUCUGUGGGCCCCAGUGCCCUGAUGGCCUUCAUCCCCAGUGGGGACGUGGGCAGGGCCUGAGCCACUUUGAUGAAGCCACAGCAGCAAUGGGCUCAGAAGUCUCCUGAGGGUGUCUCAAACUCUGACACCAUGUUUUACAGAGGAACAGGAGAAUGAAGCUGACCUCCUGACAGCGUCCUUCCAGCUCUGAGUUGUUUCCAAAAGACCACCAUCACCUGCGUGGGGUCGGCCAUGAGCCACCUGCCCCCUCCUGCCUUUCCUCUUCCUCCUGGUGACAAUUCCAGUGACGUUUCCUGGCUGGUCCCCUCGCCCAGCCCAGAUGCGUCUGUCCAUCCACUGCCGCUCACCUCACCCUGGGGACUAACGGGCCCCUCGAGGACUGCACUCCUGCUGCUCCCCAUGCCCAGGAGGCAGCCCCACCUUCUUCUCCAGGUGCUGAGCUCAGACACCUGGUGUGACCAAGCAGGAGCCUGUGGGCCCUCCCAGGACAGACCCCAUCCUGUAUCCUCUGCUGCAGCUCCUCUCUGAAGUUUGGGGUAACAGCACCUGAUGUGCACUCCGGGCAUUGUUUUACAGGCACUAAAAGCCCCACUGAGUGGAAGAAGUUACCUACUAGAUGAGCAUGAACGUCACCCCAGAGCGUCCAGUUGUCAGGGAGUGUUUAGCAGGAAGAUUCCUACACGCUGUUUCUCACAGGUCCUCUGUUUCUUUUCAAGCAGAGCGGCAUGCUGUUCCCAGGAACCAGGGUCAUCGUGUGAGACAGGCCUGAGUCUCCUUCAGUAAACAUUCUCUUUACGACAAAACUGCUUAGUCUCAAUUCCCUUUCCUGAGAUAUGGAUGUUCUUCUGACCUUGUGGCAAUUUUUAAUCCCUUGUUCCCUUGGUUACGGUUGUUAUACACUUGGUUUUCUGAUCUUUAUCAUAGUCAUAAGAAACUUCUUGUACCACAGCUUAUAUAUACUCACAGAAAAUUCAUUAAAGCACCUCUGCUCCAUCAGAGCUUGGGUCCCCGUGUCUUUCUUUCUCUCUUUCUUUCUCUCAUUCUCUUUCUCUCUCUCUCUUAGGCUGAUUCCUUGGAGUGCAGAGACCCGUCUUGCUCACUCUGCUGCCCGGGCUUCUAAGACUCUCUCGAGAAGGCGCCAGGUGCCUUCAUGAGACAUGCAAGUCCUCUAUCAAGGACUUUAUUGGUUUUCUGCAUAAACCAGAGAGUAUCAGCUUCUUUCUCUCUUUCACUUUCUUAUCAUCGCCUCCGGACCACCAGGUCCCGGUCCAUUAAAGGACCCCAACAUCCAGUGCCUGAGGAUUUGUGAGGUUAGCCGCCUGUUCCCUCACCAACCAGAGAACCGUGCACCAGCGGAUCACAAACUCUGUGACCCCCUCCCUCAGGCGGCCUGUAAGCUGCUUUGCUGAAGCCCCUCAGGGAGUCCGGGGUUUGGAGCACGAGUUAGCUGUCCUCCAUGUAGCGGUGCUUUUGUAAGCAUCACUUCCCGUUCCUUCACCACAACCUGGCGUUGUAGAUUGGCUUUAUUGCACUCAGGCGUGUGGGCCCAGGUUUGGUUCAGUAACACAGGGCCUCCCAGGCUCCCGCUUCCUUGUGGCCCGGUGACUGUCAGCUCCUCCACCAGAGCCCACAGCCAGUCCCACUCUAGUUCCCCUCUGCACCUAAGCCCGUUGUCACUGGUCACAUGAUGGUAGUGAUGAUGACAUCCAGCAGAGCCAGCUUGGCAAGGCAGACACUUCUGGACUUGACACCGGGCCCCUUUCCACAGACAGGAUGGAGUGACUGCUUUCACGGGCCCCGUGGUGGAAGAGCUCACUUUCUGAUGAAGCCAGACCUUGAUCCUCUCCAGGGGACAAAAGAAGAGGGACAGACACAGAGGACAAGCCGCAUGAAGAUGAAGGCAGAGACGGGCGGGAGGGGCCGCAAGCCCAGGAACCCCUGGAGCCCCUGAAGCUGGAAAAGGCAGGAAGGACCCUAUCCUGGAGCCUCUGGAGGGACCUCAGCCUUGCGCCACCUUGAUCUCAGGUGUCUGGUCUCCAGGACUGGGGGAGGAUGAACUCCUGUUGUUUUAAACCACCCGGCUUGUGAUCAUUUGUUGGGCCACAGAGCAGCCACACAGACCCUGCUCUGUAGGAUCCUAGAAGUGUGGGUCUCAGUAAAGGCAGAUCAGGGUGCUUUACGGAACCCCUGGAGUCAGCACUGGGACCCCAGAAUGUUGAGGGGUCGAGUCUGAAACCUGUCCCUAGGGCUGCACACGCCUCCCCAGGUUCUUACACCUGAACAGGUGGUGUAGCAUCUCAGUCCUGACUGAGGACUCUGUUAAUUUCACCAGUUACACAGGUGAAAACCCAGUUAGGAUACUUGCCACACUGAUGAUCAAUUCUGAAGAUGGUCAGGGGUGGGGACUCACAUGCAGCCAGCAGCCCUUCAC